UACGGAGGGUGCGAGCGUUAAUCGGAAUUACUGGGCGUAAAGCGUGCGUAGGCGGCCCGUUAAGUUAGGUGUGAAAGCCCUGGGCUCAACCUGGGAACGGCACUUAAAACUGGCAGGCUCGAGUUUGGGAGAGGGGGGCGGAAUUCCGGGUGUAGCGGUGAAAUGCGUAGAUAUCCGGAGGAACACCAGUGGCGAAGGCGGCCCCCUGGCCCAAGACUGACGCUGAGGCACGAAAGCGUGGGUAGCAAACAGG
rnacentral:rRNA from 1 species